rnacentral:rRNA from 13 species
GCAGCCGCGGUAAUUCCAGCUCCAAUAGCGUAUAUUUAAGUUGUUGCAGUUAAAAAGCUCGUAGUUGAACCUUGGGCUUGGUUAGCCGGUCCGCCUUUUGGUGAGUACUGGAUCUAACCGAGCCUUUCCUUCUGGGUAACCUUUCUUUCGGGGAAGGCGAACCAGGACUUUUACUUUGAAAAAAUUAGAGUGUUCAAAGCAGGCCUUUGCCCGAAUACAUUAGCAUGGAAUAAUAGAAUAGGACGCGCGUUCCCAUUUUGUUGGUUUCUGAGAUCGCCGUAAUGAUUAAUAGGGAUAGUUGGGGGCAUUUGUAUUCCGACGUCAGAGGUGAAAUUCUUGGAUUGCCGGAAGACAAACUACUGCGAAAGCAUUUGCCAAGGAUGUUUUCAUUAAC